UCUCCGUUGGUGAACCAGCGGAGGGAUCAUUACAGGACUCGCAAGACUCCUACAACCCUGUGAACUUAACUAUAAGCACGUUGCUUCGGCGGGUGUCUCGGAGGGGGUUCUCCCUCCCCGAGACGCCAAACCCGCCGGCAGCCUACUAUACUCUGUCUCUUUGCGUUGGCAUCUCGAGUACAAUCAAACAAGUUAAAACUUUCAACAACGGAUCUCUUGGUUCUGACAUCGAUGAAGAACGCAGC
rnacentral:misc_RNA from 1 species